UACGUACCGUGCGAACGUUAUUCGGAAUUACUGGGCUUAAAGGGUUUGUAGGCGGCCUUGUAAGUCGGGUGUGAAAUCCCUCGGCUCAACCGAGGAACAGCGCUUGAUACUGCAAGGCUUGAGGGAGACAGGGGUAAGCGGAACUGAUGGUGGAGCGGUGAAAUGCGUUGAUAUCAGCAGGAACAUCGGUGGCGAAAGCGGCUUACUGGGUCUCUUCUGACGCUGAGGAACGAAAGCGAGGGGAGCGAACGGG
rnacentral:rRNA from 1 species